rnacentral:rRNA from 1 species
GGUUAAGCGACUAAGCGUACACGGUGGAUGCCCUGGCAGUCAGAGGCGAUGAAGGACGUGCUAAUCUGCGAUAAGCGUCGGUGAGGUGAUAUGAACCGUUAUAACCGGCGAUUUCCGAAUGGGGAAACCCAGUGUGUUUCGACACACUAUCAUUAACUGAAU